rnacentral:rRNA from 1 species
GUAGGCGAACCUGCGGAAGGAUCAUUAAUGAGUUAGGGUCUUCCAGGCCCGAUCUCCAACCCUUUGUAUAACUACCAUGUUGCUUUGGCGGGCCCGUCUUUAACCGGACCGUCGGGGGUUUUAACCCUUGGCCAGUGCUCGUCAGUAGCCCACAAUAAAUUCUUUUAACCAUGUUAAAUCUGAAAAUAGUUAAAUAAACUAAAACUUUCAACAACGGAUCUCUUGGUUCUGGCAUCGAUGAAGAACGCAGCGAAAUGCGAUAAGUAAUGCGAAUUGCAGAAUUCAGUGAGUCAUCGAAUCUUUGAACGCACAUUGCGCCCUUUAGUAUUCUGAAGGGCAUGCCUGUUCGAGCGUCAUUAUCACUAAUCAAGCCCGGCUUGCUGUUGGACCUCUUGUCGUCAAAAGACAGGCCCCAAAGAUAAUGACGGUGUUAUUAGAACCCUAGAUGCAACGAGCUUUAACCAGCACGCAUGAUAGUGGCCUUUUAACCCGGUCUUUUUUAACCAUUUUUUAAUGUUGACCUCGGAUCAGGUAGGAAUACCCGCUGAACUUAA